CGCAAAAAAUGUUAAGAUUAGCAUGCAAACACCUUGCAUUAGAGCAGUGUUGACAGAGGGCUGAAGCACAGCAGGAAGUUACUGUUCCCGUGGGAAACGGAAAUGGUGCCUAUCAAGGAUGGAAACCUCUGAGUGCAUUCAUCCCGAUGCGCUUGAGCAAGUUACAAAACAGGCAUGGGGCAACAUGCAGAUUCUCAAUACACAGUUGAGUUCGGGGCUCAUUAGCUUUAUUGAGCUGGGGGCCACCGCAGUGGCUCCAGUAUCGAG